AAUGCGAUAAGUAAUGUGCAUUGCAGAAUUCCGUGAAUCAUCGAAUCUUUGAACGCACAUUGCGCCCUCUGGCAUUCCGGGGGGCAUGCCUGUCCGAGCGUCAUUACGCACCCUCAAGCCCGGCUUGUGUGAUGGGCCCCGGCGUCUCGUUCGCGAGACGGGCCCGAAAGGCAGCGGCGGCGUCGACCCGAUGAGCCCGAGCGUAUGGGGACUUCUGUCACACGUUCGCGGUGCGGACCGGCGCCUGCUUGACUUUUCUGAUUAUCCAGGUUGACCUCGGAUCAGGUAGGGAUACCCGCUGAACUUAAGC
rnacentral:misc_RNA from 1 species